rnacentral:lncRNA from 1 species
AUUAGAAUAGAUGACUUCGCUGCAGGUGAUAUUUGCCAACAGAGUGCAUCCAGCUUUUGUAUCCUCGUGCUUCCUCUCCUGAUUUCCAUGUGUGUGUCAGUGUGGAAUUUUAGAACAUGUCAAUUGAUCGUCCACUGAUUGCUGCCGUCUGUAAACCAACACAACAAACAUCUUAUCAUUUAAUGCCUCGUUGUGAAGGCUGCUACAUCAUCGUUCAAUAAGUUUACCUGACAGCCUUCUUUCUUGAGAUUUGAGUUUCCUUACUCUUUCCCUGACAGCCUACUUUCUUGAGAUUGAGUUUCCUUACUCUCUCACCUGCCGUCACCAGAAGCUCACCCCC